UGGCCAGCCCAGGCUCCUGAUGUCAGUUUGUAGGGUUCCCUUGGGACUGUCAGGGCAGCACAGGUUUGGGGUGGGGGCAGCUUGGGGCUGGGAGACAUCCUUGAUCAUUCGGAUUUUUUGGAGGUGUCCGGUCACUCAGGGCCACAGGCCCCUGGAGACACAGACCGGUCCUUUUUCCCUGGGAAAGAAAAGUGGCCAGCCCAGGUUCCUGAUGUCAGUUUGUGGGGUUCCCUUGGCAGUGCAGGUUUGAGGUGGGGGCAGCUUGGGGCUGCAACACAUCCUUGAUCAUUCGGAUUUUUUGGAGGCGGCAGAUGCAGCGAGCAUAGAAGACUGUGUAACUAAUUAUAUACAAGUUAACUUUUAGGCCAAGGACAAUCUGCAAGGAAGAUGAGGAGCCUUCAUCCCUACGACCACCAAGGGCAGAAAAAAAGACCCCCCCAGCAACCAACUGCACAGAAGGGAUACCGGUAACCCCAGAAUCUUUGUGCACAAAGCCCGGGUGGAGACGCAGGACAGCAGAACCUAGUGAAAACUUGACACACGAUUGCCUAAAAGUUAUUGAAGAAGGCCUGAUUUGGAGGAAGAAGAACUAGAAGAUGGCAAGAAAUUAUUUGUGGAUGGGUCGUCUCGAGCAAUAGAUGGAAAAAGAAAAUCAGGGUAUGCUGUAAUUGAUGGAAAAACCUUGAAGGUAACAGAGUCAGGGCCAUUAAGCUCAGGGUGGUCGGCACAGGCUUGUGAGUUAUAUGCAGUAUUACGGGCCUUAGAGCUGUUAAAAGGAAAGGCUGGAACUAUUUAUACAGACUCAAAAUAUGCUUAUGGGGUAAUACAUACAUUUGGAAAGAUAUGGGAAGAAAGGGGCUUGAUUAAUUCACAGGGAAAGGGAUUAAUUCGUGAGGAUUUAAUUAGGAGAGUACUGAGAGCUUUAAGGUUGCCUGAAGGUAUCGCUGUAGUUUAUGUAAAAGGCCACCAGAGCGGGAUAUGUAACCAAGUAAGGGGAAACAAUGUCGCUGA